CAGCAGCCACGGUAAUACCGAGGGUGCGAGCGUUAAUCGGAUUUACUGGGCGUAAAGCGUGCGUAGGCGGCUUUUUAAGUCGGAUGUGAAAUCCCUGAGCUUAACUUAGGAAUUGCAUUCGAUACUGGGAAGCUAGAGUAUGGGAGAGGAUGGUAGAAUUCCAGGUGUAGCGGUGAAAUGCGUAGAGAUCUGGAGGAAUACCGAUGGCGAAGGCAGCCAUCUGGCCUAAUACUGACGCUGAGGUACGAAAGCAUGGGGAGCAAACAGGAUUAGAUACCCCUGUAGUCCCUGUCUCUUAUAU
rnacentral:rRNA from 1 species